rnacentral:lncRNA from 1 species
GGGGGAGGCUCAGGCAUGGCCAUGGCCGGGUGCAGGUCCGGAACCCUGCCCCGCUGGGACAGCUAAGACCCCAGAAAUCCAGCACAGCAGCUGCUGGCCCAGGUGCUAAGCCCCUCACUGCCCGGGGCUGGCGGGGCGGCCGGCCGGCCGCUCCGAGCAGGGGGCCUGCCGAGCCCACGCCCACCCGGAACUCGCGCUGGCUCGCAAGCGCAGCGCGCAGCCCGGGUUCCCGCCUGCGCCUCUCCCUCCACACCUCCCGGCAAGCUGUGGGAGCCGGCUCCGGCCUUGGCCAGCCCAGAAAGGGGAUCCUACAGUGCAGCGGGGGGCUGAAGGGCUCCUCAAGCGCGGCCAGAGUGGGCGCCAAGGCCGAGGAGGCGCCGAGAGCGAGUGAGGGCUGCUAGGGCCGCCAGCAUGCUGUCACCUCUCAUAAUGGGUUUCUGGACAGUGUUGUUAACAAUUCAUGGCGUGUGUUUCUGUGUCGGAGGCAGGAGGGAGCUGAAAAGAUGCAGUUUUAUCUCCAAAGGAAAGACGAGGUUUUGCCAUGUUGCCCAAGCUGAUCUCGAACUUCUUGGCUCAAGUGAUCUGCCUGCCUUCCAAAGUGCUGGGAUUACAGGCAUGAGCCACCAAGCGCAGCCAUGAUUUAUUAGAUCACUUCUAAAAGCCCUCUCUCCAUCUCCAAGCCAGCAAGUGCUUCUUUGCACCCCAGCUCUAAAACAAAGCCCUUGGGGACACAAUCAAAGACAGUAGUUGCCAAGAGGAAUAGGGAGCAUGGAAAGAAGGUGCUGGAUGUGCAUACAGCUAACCUGGUAACUCCAAACUGGAUGAGCUCAUUCCUUGAGACUGGAAUUACAAAAUUGGAACAGCUCACUAAUAAUUGAAGAUGAUUUGGGAAAACCAUUAUCCUUCCUCAGGUUUUACAAGGUUUUUAUGACUCAUUUAUAAGGUCCUACAGCUAAAAAAAAUCAUGCUGUAUUUCAGAGAAGUUUAACUUGAAAAUAUUUUUUUCACUAAUUAAAAAUUCCCAUUAUACCUUAUAGUUGCAAUUGUAUCCUUAUUGCUGAAAGAUAUCCAUACUACCUACCACUUCUUUAAAAUUUAAAAAAUUCUAUAAAUAAAAAAUAUAACAAUUGCAAAUAUGUAAAUAACUUCCAACAUAAAACAAAAUUUAUAGUAAUUAUAAGAAGUUCUUUUAUACUAAAAAUUAAGUUGUAAUUAUGAUAGAAAUAAUCUGUAAAAGGUAUUUUUAGCAAAAUUUAUUAAUACGGGUAGCAAUAAUAAUACCCAAUUAUAUAUGCAUAUUGUUUGUAUUUUAGAACCUGUGACAAAUGAAAAUGGUUUUCCUAGAUAAGAACGAAACUGUGUUGGGUGGCUAACAAGAUUGAAACUCAUCUGACUUUGAGAAAUAAAUCAAUUUGGUUUGUUUAUUUACAAUCGUUAUUUUUCCUUUUACCAAUACCUAAGUUAUUUCACUGUAAAACUUUCAUAGAAGAAUUUCAGGAAAGGCUUGUAUUUACGUGUUAUAGAUGAGGUACACCACAGUGAUUUAGAUCAGCAGUCCCCAACCGUUUUGGCACCAGGGACCAGUUUCAUGGAAGACAAUUUUUCCACAGAUCAGGGGUGGGCAGAGUUUGGGGGAAUGGUUUCUGGAUGAUUCAAGCGGAUUACAUUUGUUGUGCACCAUAUUUCUAUUAUUAUUAUUGCAUUGUAAUAUGUAACAAAAUAGUUAUACAACUCCAUAAUGUAGACUCAGUGGGAGCCCUGAGCUUGUUUUCCUGCAACUAGACGGUCCCAUCUGAGGGUGAUGGGAGACAGUGACACCAAAGUGUGCUGCUUAUGUCCAGUCUACUUCGUAAUCUCAUUUUGAUUGCUGUCACUGCAGAAAACCCUGUAACAUUCUCAAAAUUCUAUUCUCUCUAGGGUAAAAUUAAACUGCGGGACAUAGCGCAGAAGACUUGUCACAAUUUAGGACCAACCUACCAAGACUUCUUGAUCUCUUUCCACUUCUUGCCCCUCACUGUGUUUGAUUUCUGCCUUCCAGUCUGAACUUCUCACUAUAUUCCAGAAAAGGCCUGUUAAAGAGAUCUGGUAGUCAAAAGCAACCUCUUUUUUGCUUGUGCUCUCUGUUAUACAUAAGAAACCAGUCCUGCUGCAGCUCCAUAUUUGCAUUACUAAUUUAAUCAGUUAGCGGGACACAUGCUCUUUAUAACCCAAAAAAUUGAAGCAUGAAAUUUGGGAGUCAUACCCAUCACCCAAAUGUGGCAUAACAAUGUUCUUCUUCCCCGCAAAGCAGUGUCCUUCCCCAAAGAAAUUCUGGGGAUUGGCAUUUUCUUCAUCCACUCCUUUCAUUAUUUCCUUUACCUAUUUCUCUGAGUCUAUUAGCAUCCUUGGAGGGGGGAAUGUAUCUUAUUUAUUGUUAUAUCUCCCAGGCUCACACAUCACUCAAUAAAGGUUUGUUGAAUGAAACAAUAAAUGGAUGCAAGACUAAAUGAACAAAGAAAAGCCACGGGGAAGAUAACAAUGUUAUGUCAUAAUUCAGGAUCAUCUUUUUCUGUUUUUUCCCCUCCAGCUUUAUUGAGGUAUAAUUGACAAAUAAAAAUUAUAUAUAUUCAAGGUGUCCAACAAGAUGUUUUGAUAUACAUAUACAUUGUGAAAUGAUUACCACAAUCAAACUAAUUAGCAUGUCCAUUACCUCACAUAAUUACCUUUUUUAUGUGUGCUGAGAAUACUUAAGAUUUGCUUUCUUAGCAAAUUUUAAGUAUACAAUACAUUAUGAUUAACUAUAGUCAUCAUACUUUACAGUAAGUCUCCAGAACUUACUUCAUCUGCAGGUUUGUACUCUGACCAACAUCAUCUUAUUUCACUCCCCACCCCACUUUCAGCACUGGUAACCACAUUUCUAUUCUAAGCCUUCUGGUGAAAUUUCUUUCUUAUUUCACUCCCAGUGAGUAACACAAGAGAAAAAUAAACAACAAAAGCCAGUCAAUAAUUAUAAAGUGAAUCUUACCAGUAUAGAGUUAUAAGCCUUGUUUUUACUUCACUGAUAAUGUUGUCGUGAACACUGUUUGAAUAAUGAAGACUAAAGGAAUGAUGGCAUGCACUGUGAGUUCUUGAUGUGGUUGAAGCAAAAUUCCCAACAAACAGACAUUUUGCUAUUUCAUUAGUGUUUAUGGCUGAU